rnacentral:lncRNA from 1 species
AUUGACAAAAUGUGUGAUGUGGGUGGGAUGAGAGAUACAGCGUGCUGCCAAGGAUGGCCCAUCUUAAUGAGAGUUGUGGGAGAGAACAAGCCUUGGAAAUCACAUGCUGUCAUUUCUGCGAUCGGUCAUAACCAGUCCUGAUUCCAUGUUAGAGGAGACUACAUAAGGACACAGGUACCAGAAGCUGAUAUAAGUCUUUUGAGGUACAGCCUGGCACAAAAAGGAUGAGAUUUGUGGGCAGAAUUUUGGAAGAAUAUCUCCCGAGAGAACAUUCAGGACAGAUUGCACUGCUUUGGAGAGCUGGUGAUGAAAUCCGGCCAUUGAAUUACACUGCACUAUAAACUUCAUUUGUUCUUGGGUGCAUAGUGAUUUGCUAUAAUAAUGAUCAUCCAUUUGCCAGACAGCUGAGAUUUUUUAAAAGCUUGAUUGCUUUUGGCAUGGCAUUAUUAGUCCUGGAAGAAGGCAGCACAUUUGUAGCAAUUCUCAGCUUGAGCAAACUAGAAUAUUCACCUCCCACAAAUGCUGGCCAUUUAAGAUCUGUGUGUUAGACUUUGGCAUUUUUUCUAGCAAUUCUACAACAGCAUACACACUUUUAUUUUUCAUUAACACCAUUGUGAAUAUGCCCAUCUCUAAAAUUUCAAGGGGGUUCACUUAAGCUACUGAGUUUUAUGGACAGAAGGGCCAAGAAAAGUCCCCAAAGAAGAGUGCAUGCUGUCAAUUGCCAAUUAUUUUUUUUUCUAAUGAAAGCCAAACAAUUCCAGACAAACCCUUUUCUAAGAAAUGAACUACAUAUCUGGAUCCAAAUAAAUACUCAUCUGAUAAGAAUCUAAAAGCUCUACUGAAUUACAGUGGAUGAGAACAUGAUGAUGGUGAUUCUUUGAAGAUUACUGAGGAAAUCAACUCUCAUGUCUGAUUCUGAUACUUUUAUAGUCCAUCCAUGUUGAAAAUGUCUAUGGAAUGAUUCUGUUGUACCUUGAGAAAUGAAAUUCAUAGGCAUGGAUUCUCUCACACAGCAACUUUAUACACAAAGAUGAGAAUAGAAGAAAGGUCAUUUCCAAAGAAAGUGACAUUUAUUCUGUAUUCACUGAAAAGCCAAAAGAAUUUUCUCAUUCACCCAUACCGACAGAGCCCUACAUCUCCCCGAGAAGAGGUGAAAGAGACUGCUCCUAUCUGCUUCUGCAUCAAACUUCAGGCUCAAGACCUGUCCAGAAAAAAAAAUGUCUUCUUUCAGGGAUGAACUGCUGUCCUCAUCAGACGCCUUAUUUUGUUUAGAAUUCAAGCUCACUUGACAGGUUAUUGUGAAGAUUAAAUGAAUUAAUACAUGUGAAGCAACUGUAACAACUCUUGACAUGCGUGGGCUGGACUUCCAGAAGAAACGUUGUCAGAACUCUGCCCAACUGAAAACAAGCCUACUAAAAAUAAAUAAAUAAAUAAAAUUUUAAAAAAUUGAUUAAUUAAAA